CUGCUGUGAUGACAUAUUAGGACACCUUUGAAUCCUCGUGAAACUCAAUCAGAAAUCUGAGCGGC